rnacentral:sRNA from 1 species
CUUUUGUAAAAAAAGUGUCUCUUAUUUAAUAUUGUAAUGCAAUGGUCAUAUUACCAAUUUUAUCUCAUCUAUUUCUCGUUCAAAUUACAUUUUCCUCUUGAGUUUGAGUAAAAAUCCCUCAAGUCUUAUUUGCGCUUGCAAUUUGAAAUUCAUAAACUCAAAUUGGAACAGAUCAGCUUUUGAAUAAACUCAAAUUGGAACAGAUCAGCUUUUGAACAGACCUUAAGGAUGAGGGAUGCACUAUAGCUUUUGAAUAUGAGCCUCAUGUGACCAAGGAGGACUUCUCCCAAGCGUUGACAACUUACUUGCGGUUGCAAGACGAAGAGAACAUUUCAGCUCUUGUGGAAGAGUUGAAGAGCUCGGAAAAUCAAAGUAAAGAAAGGUGUAAAAAGAGAAGACAAAGCUUAUAAAGAAAGUGUCUAUGAGACUUGCUCCUGAGUUCUUUAUAGAUGCCAAUAGAUUUACACUCUGCUGACUUUUAUCAACCUAAGGAAAAGGAGUAUCGUCCUAUCAAUAUCAAACAUAAGAGCAAAGUUGAAGAAAAAGUUGAAAAAGAAGUUGAAGAAGAAGUUGAAAAGUAUGUUCAAGAAUCUCAGUCUGCGACGAGUGAAGGUAUAAAACCCUCUUUUUAUAAUACUUUAGAGGAAUCUAUAUGGAAAUAAGAAAAGCUCUAUGCUAAACUAGGUUUCUUGAUGAUAUGUCUCUAGACGUCUUAUAUUGGUAGAUUGCCAUGGUCUACUUGUAUCGAUUGAUUGCUGCAUUUGUUUGCUUUCUAAGUUGAAAGGUGGAAAAAGGAUAGCUGAACAAACUAUCAUGAGUGUGAAGAGGUGGAAGAUGGAUACAAUUUAUUUAUCAGAUAGAUAUUAGUUUAUUAUUAUCUUUAAUUGUUGUGAUUAUUAGAGAACGA